UGUGUGCACAGGUGCCAACCGGGACAUACGCCAGGUGGGAAGCUGAAUGAAAUCGCCACGGGCCGGGCAGUAAAUGACUGGAGGACUAUCAGAGUACUCUUACCGGACGUCAAGUGCCAUCCUGGACUGCGAAAGAUGACAAAAGAGAGGGUGAAGCUUUUCACUUGCUAACAUCGCUAUGGUGACGCAGAAGUGCUGCCAGCCCCACGGAGGAGGUCCAGUUCUCACGGAGGAGAUCUGGGUUUGCUCUUAUCAGCCAUUGGAAGGCACCACCAACCCAAGACGACUUUGAGUUAAAUUCUCUGCUUGAGGGAUGCCCGGGUGGCUCAGUUCGUUAAGUGGCUGCCUUCGGCUCAGGUCAUGAUCCCAGCGUCCUGUGAUGGAGUCCCACAUCGGGCUCCUUGUUCCAUAGGGAGCCUGCUUCUCCCUCUGCCACUCUGUCUGCCUGUGUGCACUCUCUCU